AUUGAACGCUGGCGGCAGGCCUAACACAUGCAAGUCGAGCGAGCGGCGGACGGGUGAGUAAUGUCUGGGAAACUGCCUCAUGGAGGGGGAUAACUACUGGAAACGGUAGCUAAUACCCCAUACCAUCAGAUGUGCCCAGAUGGGAUUAUCUCUUUGGUGGGGUAACGGGUCACCUGGUCGACGAUCCCUAGCUGGUCGGAGAGGAUGACCAGCAACACGGGAACUGAGACACGGUCCAGACUCAUACGGGAGGCAGCAGUGGGGAAUAUUGAACAAUGGGCGCAAGCCGGAUGCAGCCAUGCCGCGUGUGUGAAGAAGGCCUUCGGGUUGUAAAGCACUUUCAGCGGGGAGGCGUUACCCGCAGAAGAAGCACCGGCUAACUCCGUGCCAGCAGCCGCGGUAAUUC
rnacentral:rRNA from 1 species